AUUGAACGCUGGCGGCAGGCCUAACACAUGCAAGUCGAACGAGUGGCGUACGGGUGAGUAAUGUCUGGGAAACUGCCUGAUGGAGGGGGAUAACUACUGGAAACGGUAGCUAAUACCGCAUACCAUCGGAUGUGCCCAGAUGGGAUUAGCUAGUAGGUGGGGUAAAGGCACACCUAGGCGACGAGCCCUAGCUGGUCUGAGAGGAUGACAAGCCAGACUGGAACUGAGACACGGUCCAGACUCAUACGGGAGGCAGCAGUGGGGAAUAUUGCACAAUGGGCGAAAGCCUGAUGCAGCCAUGCCGCGUGUAUGAAGAAGGACUUCGGGUUGUAAAGUACUUUCAGCGGGGAGGCGUUACCCGCAGAAGAAGCACCGGCUAACGCCGUGCCAGCAGCCGCGGUAAUUC
rnacentral:rRNA from 1 species